rnacentral:rRNA from 1 species
CCUACGGGAGGCAGCAGUGAGGAAUAUUAGUCAAUGGACGAGAGUCUGAACCAGCCAAGUAGCGUGAAGGAUGACUGCCCUAUGGGUUGUAAACUUCUUUUAUAAAGGAAUAAAACGAGGCACGUGUGCCUUUUUGCAUGUACUUUAUGAAUAAGGAUCGGCUAACUCCGUGCCAGCAGCCGCGGUAAUACGGAGGAUCCGAGCGUUAUCCGGCUUUAUUGGGUUUAAAGGGAGCGUAGAUGGGUUGUUAAGUCAGUGGUGAAAGUUUGCGGCUCAACCGUAAAAUUGCAAUUGAUACUGGCAGUCUUGAGUACAGUUGAGGUAGGCGGAAUUCGUGGUGUAGCGGUGAAAUGCUUAGAUAUCACGAAGAACCCCGAUUGCGAAGGCAGCUUACGAAACUGUGACUGACAUUGAUGCUCGAAAGUGUGGGUAUCAAACAGGAUUAGAUACCCGUGUAGUC